rnacentral:rRNA from 1 species
UACGAAGGGGGCUAGCGUUGCUCGGAAUCACUGGGCGUAAAGCGCACGUAGGCGGAUUGCUAAGUCAGGGGUGAAAUCCUGGAGCUCAACUCCAGAACUGCCCUUGAUACUGGCGGUCCUCGAGUCCGGGAGAGGUGAGUGGAACUGCGAGUGUAGAGGUGAAAUUCGUAGAUAUUCGCAAGAACACCAGUGGCGAAGGCGGCUCACUGGCCCGGUACUGACGCUGAGGUGCGAAAGCGUGGGGAGCAAACAGG